AUAAUUGUAAAUUAAUGAAUGCCAGAAAUAUUUGGCAAGAAACAGGAGUAGAAAUAUUCCAGAAACCUGAUAAUAUUACGGAUGUUUUCUUUUAAUGUUAGUUUGCAUUAAAACAUUAAAUUUGUGAUUUUUAAAUAAUGAACAUCAAAAUGAGCAAGAAAGGAUAAAAUAAUUUGUGUUAAAUGCUCUUUAUAUAGACCCGUUCUCUUGUGUUGUCCCUUGGAAGAGACCUUUUACUAAGAUACUACCAUAAGAGAGAGUAGAUCAUUUUAAGCUCUUGUAUCAGGCAUUCUCAGGAGAAUGUCAGAUUCAUGUAGUAAAUAUGAUUUUGAUGAGCCUUAUAACUUUGUCAGAGUAUGAUAUAUUUUUAAUUUUUUGUUAUUUUUAAUAUGAUUAGAAAGUAGAAGAGUUCAUAAGGUGAGGAAUGAGGUUAGUAUGAUAAUUCACUGUCAUGUGUCUGACAUAUCCCCAUCCCAUAUAGUAUUUGUAGCUAUAAAAAUUCACUAAGGGCUGUGAUUUUUCAGUAAUAAUUAGUUGAUUAGGAGUUUAAAAAUAAUUUGACUGAAGAGAGCUUUUAGUUCCAGUGUUUAUCUGUGUGUGUUUCUGAUAUUUGCAGCAGAAUCUUUUGCUUAAUUUGGAGAUUGAUUUUUAAAAUUCUUCAUAAUCCUAUACUUAGGAAACUUAAUGAGAUUGAGGUAGAUUAAUUUUUUUUUAGUAGAAUUACUUGGUGUCUUUUUUCCAGGUACGUUAUUGCUCAUAUUUCAGUGUCCAAGAAAAUAAGAGGACCUUAGUUUUUGUUUACCUCUGAUACAUAUUAUUCACAAUUUUUGUCAUCUUAAUAGGUAAGCCGUAGAAACUAUGGCAGUUGUCAGCAUUGGCAUGGAGAUACCUUUAAAAAAACAAACCCAAAGCAAAAUCUUAGGGCAAUCAGUUAAUUUUCCAAUUCUUCCCAUUGAGUUCUAAAACAUGCUGUAAUCAGAAUAUGUACUUGGUGAGAUGAGGGCCCAAAGUUUUCAAGGAGGUUUUCACAAAGAUGUUAUUAAACAUUUUUGAAGAAAUCCUGUCACAUUGUUUGGGGAGUAAUUUGUACCUAGUCUUAUAAAUACCUUGGAUGGUGAGAGGAGUUCCAUGUAGUUCAGUUUGGCUGGAGUGGUAGGCGAGUACAAAGGAGCAAGUAUAUUACCCUGAUCUGCACCUGCUGUAAAGGAGGUGGCACAUGGACCAUCUUCAUUUCCAGGCUCCAUGUUAGAAUUAUGUCAUUAAAAACUCCAUGGUGCGGAGCACCCGGCGUAUCUAUAUUUUUCCUUUAUUCUCCCCUCCUUCCUCCCUCCCUCCCUCCUUCCCUCCCUUCCUUCCGCUUAAAGCUUACUUACUGAAUUUUCAAUGAAAUAUUUAUAAAUGGACAAAUAUUCUAAUUAACCAAGAGUCAUUUUACAAAGGGAAAAUAAUAACAAAACUUCUAACCCACACUUUUCUCUGUUCAGUGCUUAAAAAGGAAAUCACAUAGGAGUUCCUGUUGUAGCUCAGUGGUAACAAACCUGACUAUAGUAUCCAUGAGGAUGCGGGUUCGAUCCCUGGCCUUGCUUAGUGGGUUAGGUCCUGGCGUUGCUGUGAGCUGUGGUGUAGGUUGCAGAUGCAGCUCAGAUCCCACAUUGCUGUGGCUGUGGCAUAGGCUGGCGGAUGGAGCUCCGAUUCAGCCCCUAGCCUUGGAACUUGCAUAUGUCACAGUGCAGCCCUAAAAAGAAAAAAAGAAGAAAAAAAAAA
rnacentral:lncRNA from 1 species